AGCCUGGACGAAUUGCUGCGCCAUCUUGAGUUUGGGACGGACGACGAUGGGAGGGAGGAGCGACUCGGCGUCUUUGCACUUUGUUCAUCUGAAUUCCACGAAAUGGAACAGACACAACCAGAAAAAGAGACAAUGACCAGACAGAACGAGUCUGCUGAGUGGCCUUUUAAAGCACCGUUUUUGCAGGCAAAAAGAAAAAAAAGGUAAGUGAAGGGGGGAAGGGUAAAAAACAACCUAACUCAGCUUCUGUAAGGGGAGCACAGUACGGAUUUAGAGAAAAAAAAACAACAACAAAGAGGCACACAUUAAUACACGACACAUGGACAAGCACAUGUGUGGUGGGCAAAUAUUGGGGGAACAUUUCAGCCCAAUCAACCAGAAUGAAUGAGUUCAUUAAAGACCCCAGUUUGGGGAAAUUGAUUUUUAUUUUCCACUAUUUAGCAAGUCAAGCAUUCAUGCAUUUGAUAUGAUAUUUGUACACCCAUUACGCUUAACAGAUGACGCGAUAGGAUGAUGCGCUUCCCUUUAGUGACGCGGGUCGUACUAUGAGGUAGGCACAACGGGCACCAACCCCCUCCCAGGCAGUGAGUUGCAUCUUCACUAUCUGCUCGUAGCAGCCCCCCCAAUGCAAGAGAUUAGGGCGGCGUGUUUUGGUGUGUCAUAGCCUCAGGCUGGGUGUGGAAAGACCUCUGUGAAUCCAAUAGAUUAACAUGGAUCUUCACCCCACCCAACCCCGGGACAAGUCACAAGCACACGUGUGUAUUUCCAUCACUUAAAGGAAUUUGACUAAAGACUUCUAGAACCCAAUCACAUUUCCUGUCAUAUUGGAGCAUUUGGGGACUUGCUCUGUUUUCAAAGCCCGUGUUGUUGAGCAAUAUGCGUCAUGAUGGGUGUUAAAAAGAUCAACACACGCACAUUCGUGAGUUAAUGAAGCCAGUUGAAACUCUGGGUGACGGGCACAAAUCUCAAGUCGUUUUAUUUACAUCGGCAGAGCCAUCAAACAUAAAACAAAAAAAAAACAUGCUAAUAUGGAAUACUGUGUGUUUAGUUCCAGGAGUCUUCCUGUUUGUAUCACAGCUUACCUGAUGUACAAACAAUUAAACGUGUCUCAUUGGUUUGAGAAUGUUUUUAUUGACAGGAUACCCAACGGUGUCCUCCAGUAGAAGCUUUGACUCACUCUUUGUUCAAGCGCAGACAAUAUUUUGUUUGUUCAUGUGGAGGACGACGCGUUCAUCAAAAUGUAGUUGGCCGUAUUUUUCUCCAGUGCCACGUCUCUCCGAAUUAUAUUGUUCAGAUGUGCAAAGUUAGCCCGUGCUUAGGAAAAUGAGAUUUGUCAAUUUUGCUAGUCAAAUAGAAGUAGGAAGAGGCCACUCCUGAAACACUUUCCAAGUUCUUCUUUUGAAACUUGCAACAGUGCAAGUUCUCAGCUGUGCUGUAAAAUGAGUAAUUGUGCACAGGAAUGCGAUGAUGCUUGUUGCGUCAGGCUAACAGUCAUCUUUUGUCAUGCUUAGCGUCUGAAGUUUAAAAAAAAAAAACAUAUGCACCAAAUUUGAACGUCAGAUUCAUUUUUACACCACAUAAAUCGUUUGUGAUGCAAAGUAUCUCUGCGAAUAGCUCCGGUCCUAACCUAACCGUUAAGCGCGUUGUUGAAUUACAAUUUCUCUUCAACCGCAUUCCAUUCACGCCAGUGCUCUUCAUCUCGGAUUGUGCGAGGAAUCCAGAGUCUCCGGGGAAAUACAUGUGAACUCCACACACUCACACAAAAAUAAAAAAAACGUUUGACGCAGACGUGCGAACGUGCACUACCUUACUUUUCUUUUUCUUUGUUGUUUAGUUUGCAUCUCCUCUGCCACGCUCUAGUU